rnacentral:rRNA from 1 species
AUCUGCCCUUCACUCUGGGACAAGCCCUGGAAACGGGGUCUAAUACCGGAUAACACUCUGUCCCGCAUGGGACGGGGUUGAAAGCUCCGGCGGUGAAGGAUGAGCCCGCGGCCUAUCAGCUUGUUGGUGGGGUAAUGGCCUACCAAGGCGACGACGGGUAGCCGGCCUGAGAGGGCGACCGGCCACACUGGGACUGAGACACGGCCCAGACUCCUACGGGAGGCAGCAGUGGGGAAUAUUGCACAAUGGGCGAAAGCCUGAUGCAGCGACGCCGCGUGAGGGAUGACGGCCUUCGGGUUGUAAACCUCUUUCAGCAGGGAAGAAGCGAAAGUGACGGUACCUGCAGAAGAAGCGCCGGCUAACUACGUGCCAGCAGCCGCGGUAAUACGUAGGGCGCAAGCGUUGUCCGGAAUUAUUGGGCGUAAAGAGCUCGUAGGCGGCUUGUCACGUCGGAUGUGAAAGCCCGGGGCUUAACCCCGGGUCUGCAUUCGAUACGGGCUAGCUAGAGUGUGGUAGGGGAGAUCGGAAUUCCUGGUGUAGCGGUGAAAUGCGCAGAUAUCAGGAGGAACACCGGUGGCGAAGGCGGAUCUCUG